UAAGUCAGCCUGCCUCUGACUUUUAACAGCCGCGGUAUCCUAACCGUGCUAAGGUAGCAUAAUCACUUGCCUAUUAAUUAUAGGCUAGAAUGAACGGGAUCACUCACUUAAACUUAUUUUUAUUUAAAUUUAAAUUAAACUUUAAGUCAAAAUACUAAAUUAAAAAGAAAGACAAAAAGACCCUGAAAACUAUUAGAAAUAAUUAGUUGGGGCAACUAUAGACCACUCUAGCGUCUAUUUUUUUUUUAAACUCUUAAAAUCUAAAGUAUCCAGUUACUUCAGGGAUAACAGACUAAUUUUAUUAUUUAGACCCAAUAAAUAAUAAAGAUUGGCACCUCGAUGUUGGCUUAUAUUUCCUUCAUAUAGCAACAUAUAUAGAAGGCAGCUUGUUCAUCUGUUAAAUAUUUACAUGAGCUGAGUUCAGACCGGCGUAAG
rnacentral:rRNA from 1 species